CACCAGGAUCAGACAGGGGCUAUGCCUGCAGGAGGCAGAAGGCUUGGGGCCAGGAGCCACUGUGAUCUGGCCUGAUCCGUCCUUGCCCUGCUUAUCUUACCCCGGGCCCUUCUCCCUGGAGAGUGGAGGGUUCCGGCUGUUAUAUUUGUGCUUCCUCUGGUGUCUGCCUCAAGUCCGGCCCGGGCCCUGACACUGCACCUCUGGCUGACCCCAUGCUCUCUGAGACCCUCUGUCCACGUCCUUCCUCUGCGGUGGAGACAGCGGGUGGAGGGCGGGACAUAGGAAUGAGUCCUGAAGGCUGAGGAGCAGGGGGAGAGCUGAUGGGGAGGAUCUCCUAGCAGGAGGGACUCCAGGCAGAGCUGGGAGCAAGGCAGGUGGCUGAGCUCGGCCCAGGCUGGGUGGAGGCCAGGCCUCCUGUGCCUUCUCCCGCUGACGGCGAGCUGAAGGGAGGAGGGCGGCAGCUUCCUUGAGGGCCUGAGUUACAGCCAAGAAGACCUGCUCACUUUUUCCAGAAGUGAGGGAAACUUCCCCGUCAGCCCAGCAGGGCAGGCUGAGGGUCUGCAGCCAGCUUCCGGUCAGACUUCAGAUCCUCCAGCGGCUGUGGCCUUGAGCGUCAUCUCCACAGCAUCCCCUGUGUGCUGGGGGCUGGGGGGCCUGGUAAGGCCCCUCGGAGUGGCACAGCUCGCACUCUGGGGACCCAAAGUCCCCCCACCAGGCCCAGGCGGAAGCACAAGGCAUUUCUGGUCCCAGCGGAGGCCUGAGGCAAAGUCGAGCGCUGGCCGUCUGCACGCCCCGCGGUGUCUCACCUGCCUGAAAGGGAGGAAGGAAGCUCAUGGAGCCCCAUCCGUUCUCCUGCGGGGCAUCCUCCAG